CCCUCCCUCUUUCCUCCGGCCUAACACAUGCAAGUCGAGCGCCCUUUCGGGGGAGCGGCGGCCGGGUGAGUACCGCGUGGGAAUAUGCCCUUCUCUACGGAAUAGCCUCGGGAAACUGAGAGUAAUACCGUAUACGCCCUGUGGGGGAAAGAUUUAUCGGGGAAGGAUUAGCCCGCGUUGGAUUAGGUAGUUGGUGGGGUAAUGGCCUACCAAGCCGACGAUCCAUAGCUGGUUUGAGAGGAUGAUCAGCCACACUGGGACUGAGACACGGCCCAGACUCCUACGGGAGGCAGCAGUGGGGAAUCUUAGACAAUGGGGGCAACGCUGAUCUAGCCAUGCCGCGUGAGUGAUGAAGGCCUUAGGGUUGUAAAGCUCUUUCAGCUGGGAAGAUAAUGACGGUACCAGCAGAAGAAGCCCCGGCUAACUCCGUG
rnacentral:rRNA from 1 species